rnacentral:rRNA from 1 species
CAGCAGCCGCGGUAAUACGUAGGGUGCAAGCGUUAAUCGGAAUUACUGGGCGUAAAGCGUGCGCAGGCGGUUAUAUAAGUCAGAUGUGAAAUCCCCGGGCUCAACCUGGGAACUGCAUUUGAGACUGUAUGGCUAGAGUGUGUCAGAGGGGGGUAGAACUCCACGUGUAGCAGUGAAAUGCGUAGAUAUGUGGAGGAAUACCGAUGGCGAAGGCAGCCCCCUGGGAUAACACUGACGCUCAUGCACGAAAGCGUGGGGAGCAAACAGGAUUAGAUACCCCGGUAGUCCCUGUCUCUUAUAC